rnacentral:rRNA from 1 species
UACGUAGGGCGCAAGCGUUGUCCAGAAUUAUUGGGCGUAAAGCGCUCGUAGGCGGCCUGUUACGUCUGCUGUGAAAUCCCGGGGCUUAACCCCGGGCGUGCAGUGGAUACGGGCAGGCUGGAGGCAGGCAGGGGAGAACGGAAUUCCUGGUGUAGCGGUGAAAUGCGCAGAUAUCAGGAGGAACACCGGUGGCGAAGGCGGUUCUCUGGGCCUGUACUGACGCUGAGGAGCGAAAGCGUGGGGAGCGAACAGG